rnacentral:rRNA from 1 species
AGUGAAGCGGGAUGAGCUCAAAUUUAAAAUCUGGCCGGUUUACUGGUCCGAAUUGUAGUUUAAAGAAGCGUUUUCGGUGGCAGCCUGGGUAUAAAUCCUUUGGAAUAGGGUAUCAUAGAGGGUGAGAAUCCCGUCUUUGACUCAGUGCAUGCUACUAUGUGAUACGUUUUCAAAGAGUCGAGUUGUUUGGGAAUGCAGCUCAAAAUGGGUGGUAAAUCUCAUCUAAGGCUAAAUAUUGGCGAGAGACCGAUAGCGAACAAGUACCGUGAGGGAAAGAUGAAAAGAACUUUGAAAAGAGAGUUAAACAGUGCGUGAAAUUGUUGAAAGGGAAACGUUUGACACCAGUCAUGCGGGCGGAAAAUCAGUCUUUUGUAGUGGGGAAGCGCGUGGGUUCAGACCGCAAGGCUGGCCUAUGUGUUCUCUCUGCUGCGAGUGAUGCACUUUUUCGUCUGCAGGCCAACAUCAGUUUCUUCUGCUGGACAAAACUCUAAGAGAAGGUAGCAGCUUAGGCUGUGUUAUAGCUCUGGAGCGAUACAGUGGAGGAGACUGAGGUUUUCGCAGCGUGUGCUCUCGGGCAAGGCGGAUUGGGUGCUAUGAGAUCGUUCGGCGUACAAUGCAUGCAUUUUGCGCCGUGUCUUUUUCAUACUCGCUCAACUCUGCUCUUCCACGCUUAGGAUGUUGGCAUAAUGGUUUUAACCGACCCGUCUUGAAACACGGACCAAGGAGUCUAACAUAUAUGCGAGUGUUUGGGUGGCAAACCCAUACGCGUAAUGAAAGUGAACGUAGGUGCCAUCCGCAAGGUGCAGCAUCGACCGAUCUUGAAUUUUUAGGAUAGAUUGAGUAAGAGCAUAUAUGCUGGGACCCGAAAGAUGGUGAACUAUGC